AUUGAACGCUGGCGGAAUGCUUUACACAUGCAAGCCGAACGGCAGCACGGACUUCGGUCUGGUGGCGAGUGGCGAACGGGUGAGUAAUGUAUCGGAACGUGCCCAGUCGUGGGGGAUAACGUAGUGAAAAUUACGCUAAUACCGCAUACGAUCUAUGGAUGAAAGCGGGGGAUCGCAAGACCUCGCGCGAUUGGAGCGGCGGAUAUCAGAUUAGGUAGUUGGUGGGGUAAAGGCCCACCAAGCCAACGAUCUGUAGCUGGUCUGAGAGGACGACCAGCCACACUGGAACUGAGACACGGUCCAGACUCCUACGGGAGGCAGCAGUGGGGAAUUUUGGACAAUGGACGCAAGUCUGAUCCAGCCAUUCCGCGUGCAGGAUGAAGGCCCUCGGGUUGUAAACUGCUUUUGUACGGAACGAAAAGGUCUCUCUUAAUACGGGGGGCUCAUGACGGUACCGUAAGAAUAAGCACCGGCUAACUACGUGCCAGCCGCCGCAGUAA
rnacentral:rRNA from 1 species